rnacentral:rRNA from 1 species
AUGAACGCUGGCGGCGUGCCUAAUCCAUGCCAGUCGAGCGAACGGACGAGAAGCUUGCUUCUCUGAUGUUAGCGGCGGACGGGUGAGUAACACGUGGAUAACCUACCUAUAAGACUGGGAUAACUUCGGGAAACCGGAGCUAAUACCGGAUAAUAUUUUGAACCGCAUGGUUCAAAAGUGAAAGACGGUCUUGCUGUCACUUAUAGAUGGAUCCGCGCUGCAUUAGCUAGUUGGUAAGGUAACGGCUUACCAAGGCAACGAUGCAUAGCCGACCUGAGAGGGUGAUCGGCCACACUGGAACUGAGACACGGUCCAGACUCCUACGGGAGGCAGCAGUAGGGAAUCUUCCGCAAUGGGCGAAAGCCUGACGGAGCAACGCCGCGUGAGUGAUGAAGGUCUUCGGAUCGUAAAACUCUGUUAUUAGGGAAGAACAUAUGUGUAAGUAACUGUGCACAUCUUGACGGUACCUAAUCAGAAAGCCACGGCUAACUACGUG